GUCUCAGUGGUCGAAUGGAUAAGACACUCGCACGUUAAGCGAGCGAUCUAGGUUCGAUUCCUGGCUGGGAUA